UACGAAGGGGGCUAGCGUUGCUCGGAAUCACUGGGCGUAAAGGGUGCGUAGGCGGAUCUUUAAGUCAGGGGUGAAAUCCUGGAGCUCAACUCCAGAACUGCCUUUGAUACUGAGGAUCUCGAGUUCGGGAGAGGUGAGUGGAACUGCGAGUGUAGAGGUGAAAUCGUAGAUAUUCGCAAGAACACCAGUGGCGAAGGCGGCUCACUGGCCCGAUACUGACGCUGAGGCACGAAAGCGUGGGGAGCAAACAGG
rnacentral:rRNA from 1 species